rnacentral:rRNA from 1 species
CAACUUUCAGCAACGGAUCUCUUGGCUCUCGCAUCGAUGAAGAACGCAGCGAAUUGCGAUAAGUAAUGUGAAUUGCAGAUUUUCAGUGAAUCAUCGAAUCUUUGAACGCACCUUGCGCUCCUUGGUAUUCCGAGGAGCAUG